rnacentral:rRNA from 1 species
CAGUAGCCGCGGGAAUACAGAGGGUGCGAGCGUUAAUCGGAUUUACUGGGCGUAAAGCGUGCGUAGGCGGCUUCUUAAGUCGGAUGUGAAAUCCCUGAGCUUAACUUAGGAAUUGCAUUCGAUACUGGGAAGCUAGAGUAUGGGAGAGGAUGGUAGAAUUCCAGGUGUAGCGGUGAAAUGCGUAGAGAUCUGGAGGAAUACCGAUGGCGAAGGCAGCCAUCUGGCCUAAUACUGACGCUGAGGUACGAAAGCAUGGGGAGCAAACAGGAUUAGAGACCCCAGUAGUCCCUGUCUCUUAUAA